CUCUACAACCACAGUUUCUAAAGCAACAGGUCCCACUUCUGCCCUGGUUUCACGCCACCGGUGCACAGGACAGCUAGCCUGUUCUGUUACCCUACGCCACGUUCAGUUUAUUUCGAACUGCAGGAUGCUGACUAGGGGAGAUGGUGGCUUGACUGCUCUGAGCGCCAGAGGCCCUGCGGUUCAAAGUCUGCAAGAGUGAACGCAAGCUAAAGGAUCGGCCCGGGCGCUACAGCUCCCCCUGCCAGGUUGGCGGUGUCUCGGGGAACAAGCACGCCAUCUGGUGUCCAACAGGAGAAACUACAAAAGGAGCCCACCAUGCGCGGAAGAGCCGCCAACUCUGCACAGAAGGCCGACCCGCAACGUGGUGGGAAGUGUGGACUGCUCGGCAUUUGGAGUCUUGGACUCGAGUCCACUUCCCGAGCAUGCGCAAAGGAAAAAAAAA